UAUCGUUCUAGUGUUGUGUGUCUUAUGUAUUUCUAAUCAAACACGACCUCGUUCUACAUUUUGACGUCCUAAUUUGUAAGGCGAAGAUGGCAAAUUAUUCCGAGGUAGUGACUUCAAUGAGGAGUGUUUUCCGGACAGGAAGAACAAAGAAUGUAGAAUGGAGAAGGUCACAGUUGAUGGCACUGCUGAAAUUGUUGGAUGACAACAGGGAAAGACUUUCUGACGCCUUAAAGAAAGACCUUAACAAGUCCAGAUUUGAAUCCUGUUUAAUGGAAGUGGACUUUGUACGGAAUGACUUGAUCAACACACUCAACAACCUGACAGAAUGGGUAAAACCAGAAAAGGUGAAGAAAGGGUUGAUCAACAUGAUGGACAAAGUUUAUAUCCGACGUGAACCAUUUGGAGUGGUUAUGAUAAUGGGAGCCUGGAAUUAUCCAGUACAGCUCACAGUUGCACCUAUGAUUGGAGCAUUAGCUGCAGGUAACUGUAUAAUGAUGAAACCAUCGGAAAUUUCUGAAAAUGUGGCAGCUUUGUUAGAGGAGUUGUUCCCUAAGUACUUUGAUACGGAGUGUAUCAAGUGUGUCUGUGGUGGCAUCCCAGAGACAACAGCUCUCCUCAAGGAGAAAUGGGACUAUAUUUUCUACACAGGUAAUUCUAUGGUGGGCAAAAUAGUAAUGAAGGCAGCAGCUGAAUAUCUCACACCAGUCACCCUAGAACUUGGUGGCAAGAGCCCAGUGUAUAUUGAUCAAGGCUGUGAUCUUGGUAUUGUUUCAAACCGAGUUUUAUGGGGUAAAGUUAUGAAUGCAGGACAGACAUGCAUUGCUCCAGAUUACAUCAUGUGUUCAAAAGAAACACAGGAUGCUCUUGUAGAGAAGAUGAAAGCCACUCUUGGAGAGUUUUACCCUGAUGGACCAGCCAAGUCACCAGAUUAUUGUCGGCUUGUCAGUGAUAGGCAUUACCAGAGAGUGAAGAAGAUGAUAGGUGGAGGAGGGAAAGUGGCUCUGGGCGGUGACUCUGAUGAUUCACAAAGAUAUAUUGCACCUACAGUACUCACUGAUGUCACCUUCAGUGAUCCUAUCAUGCAAGAUGAGAUAUUUGGACCAGUGUUACCCAUUGUACCAGUGAAAAACGAAGAUGAAGCUAUUGCUCACAUAAAUGAGGGAUGUACAGGCACGCCAUUAGCUUUUUAUGUGUUUUCAAACAACCAACAAGUUGUCAAUAAACUUGUGGAAGGGGCCAAUUCAGGGACCUGCUGUGUUAAUGACUGUUUAAUGCAGGCAAGCUUACCAACAUUACCGUUUGGUGGAGUAGGUAAUAGUGGAAUGGGUGGUUACCAUGGUAAAUUCACAUUUGACACAUUCUCACAUAAGAGAGGUUGUAUGGAGAGAGGACUGAAAAUGGAGAGUGUUAACAAUAUGAGAUAUCCUCCAUUUACAAAGAAAAAGGAAAACACUGCCGCAUGGAUCAUGAAAAAGAAGUUGAAAAGCAAUGGAAGCAUGUCCCUGAUUCCAUACUUCAUUUUCGGAACUCUGUUUGCUGUCAUUUUAAAGCUUUACAUGAAAUAUUAUAGAUGAAUGAAAAUAGUAAACUGUAACAGACUAUGAAGUCAGUGUUUUAGUUUCAAGAUGGAAAUUUCAUAAGGUUAUUUUUGCUCCUGAGACACCAGUCAUGAACUUUUUCUCAAGAUAGAAGAUUUUGCUACAGCCUGGAUCCAGAAAGCUUAUUCAAGGAAACAGAUUUACAUACUAUGAUCAUGUUGAGUUUCCAGUAGAUAUUUUUGAAAAUAAACAUUUUAUGAUGAAUUAGAAGCAAAUUUGCAUUAAAAUGAACCAUUUGCCUUUUUAAUAACAUUGUUGAAAGUUCUGACUGAGAACCAGUAUCAGUAUUGAUGCAAAUACUGGACACAAAUAUUGUUACACUGAUUAUAUUGUAAAAGUUAAUGUAUGUAUUAUGUAUUCAUCUAUAAAUUGUUGUUAACUCAAUUGUCAUGUAAAUUUGUCAUGUAAAUGAAGUUGUCUGUCUGUGAUAUUGAAAAUGAAGACAAUUUUUAAUGAUGUUUGUAUUGAUUUUAAUAGAAUCUAUGAUAUUCAACACAUGAGUGCAAAAAUUGGAUCCCUACAAAUAGUGGAUAACUAUACUGGAAUAAAGAAUAACUUAUCCUAUGUAUGAAAUAAUGUGAAAUAAUGAUGAGUUUUGUUAUAUAAGAGACUUAACAGGAUAUUCAUCCAAGUUUUAAGUUUACUGCAAGCACAGUUCAUACUUAGACUUUCACCCUCAAAAAUUCAAGUUGCUGUAAUGAUAGAUACAAUCAAAAAAGACCUGAAAUAAUCAGACUUUGUCGCUUUGCUAGCUCUUCAAGUUUUAUGAAAAGAUUCAUUCACUUGCUAUAUGUAUUUUAGCUAGAUAAAACACUUUGCUGAGCAUGUACCUAAGUUAAAACAAUGUUUAUAUUCUGUUAAAUUUAAAAAGGUAACACAUAAUAAACAUAAAAUGAAUUCUUUUAAAUAGUAAAGACAAAGAGUCUGUUAAUGGACCAUAAAUUGCUUGUAUGUACCAUUGAUUUAAAUACAUUAAUUUGCCAUGUUGGUUAUGUGAGCUGUGUGUGUAUUGUUAAAGUCUGUACAGAUAUGUACUUCAUUUUAAAUGUGAAAGUUAUUCAUGAUUUUUGUGAAGAAUUGACCAGGAAUUUUACCCUGAUUUGCACUGAUAACGAAGUAUUUGUGACUUUAUACAAAUGUGGUCUUAAAAUGAAUUCUGCAAGUUGUAGAAGGUACAUCUCAAUAUGUUGUGAGAUAUUACAGUAUUAAUACAGUAUUAAUAUAACAAAGGAAUUAUGAACUAAAACUUCUACGUUUUAAACCAUUUUGUAUGGAUACUCUAUACUUAUUGAUUUCAUGUUAUAUUUGAUGAUGCUGCAUGCAAAUUGCUAAGAUGAUAAUAUAAUAAAAAUGCAUGUCUACAA